rnacentral:lncRNA from 10 species
AAGUUGCUACUGUCCCCCAGUUCCUUUGGGCAAGAAGGGAAUGGGGAUGCCCAGAUUAAACAUUUUUUUCUAGGUGUAGUUAAUGAUCAAACAUUAUUUUUAGGGAAAUUAGAAUUCUAUUUUUCAAGUCUAAAUGCAAAAGAAACGUAAAAGAACAUACAAGGUCAAGUUUCAAAGUCCUCCUCACCAAAAAGUUGAAACUGUGUUACCUAUGUACCUAAUUUUCCCAAGUAUUACACUCUUUCCUCAUGCUCAAGGCUGUGCAUGAAUUCCUUUUUACUUUCGCUCAGCAAGUAAACAGAGAGACAGAUAAAUGGAGACAGAGACAGAGAUAAAAUAUGUCUCUGGAAUACGAAGAAAUCAUCUCUAAGGAGAGGAGGAGAAGGUCUCUAAUCUGGAAUAUAAACCAGCGGUUCCAGGGGAGUCAAGAAAGGAGUUUGUUAUGCUACAAAGUAAGCAACUGUCCCUGGAGCAACGUGGAGUUUCUAACUUG